CUACGUAGGGUGCGAGCGUUGUCCGGAAUUACUGGGCGUAAAGAGCUCGUAGGUGGUUUGUCGCGUCGUCUGUGAAAUUCCGGGGCUUAACUCCGGGCGUGCAGGCGAUACGGGCAUAACUUGAGUACUGUAGGGGAGACUGGAAUUCCUGGUGUAGCGGUGAAAUGCGCAGAUAUCAGGAGGAACACCGGUGGCGAAGGCGGGUCUCUGGGCAGUAAAUGACGCUGAGGAGCGAAAGCAUGGGUAGCGAACAGGAUUAGAUCCCCUGGUAGUCCAUGCCGUAAACGGUGGGCGCUAGGUGUAGGGGUCUUCCACGACUUCUGUGCCGUAGCUAACGCAUUAAGCGCCCCGCCUGGGGAGUACGGCCGCAAGGCUAAAACUCAAAUGAAUUGACGGGG
rnacentral:rRNA from 1 species